CAGAUCCUAUUUUUUAUGUGACCUGGUUUAUGGCAUAAAUUAAUUCAAUAUUAUGGGAUUCCAGCAUUAUGAGACUUCACAUCAUGGUAGCAUAACUAUAUGCUUAUGUAGUGGCUAAGAAAGGAGAGAUAAAGUUCCAGAGAUGAUAUAUUUGAGUGAUAGAGGGCCUUCAAAGGUACUACAGGCCACAGUAGUGCUGCUGGAAGGCUGACAUUGAAUAUCCCAAGUUGGAAGGGACCCACAGGGAAACCCUUCCCAAUCUACAUAGCCCUCCUUUGGAUGCUCUCUAAUAGCUUUAUGUCCUCAUAUUGUGGCACCCAAACCUGCACACAGUAGACGUGACUGCUUGGAUGGUGUUACGUAUUUCAGUGGUGAUGUGGCAGCUCUGCAAGUCAGGCAAUGGGAUUACCUCAAGUAUGAGGCACUAACGAACAUCCAUUGCUGUCCAGAGCUGCUCCUGGCCUGUUAUGAACAUGCCCUGCCCCUGGAAGUCAGCAGGAAGAGUACAGCCAAUGUCUAUGUGUGCAGCCAAAAUGCCUAUGCAACCCAAAGCCCAAUGGAAGCCGUGCCUGAUUUUCAUCAGAGUCUGGAGACAACCACAGCCCUGACCCUGACUCUCAUCCUCGAUGCUUUCUGUGGAUGUGUGAUACAGAUAAACUGCAACCAGCUGACUGGAUCCCAGAUUAUAAACUGUACUUCUGACAUUCAAAUUACUAAAAAUUAUUAGUUGUGUGCACAUCAUACUGAAACCUGAAUCAUCUGUGUAAACUAAAGGUUUCAGACAGUGCAAACCUGUGCAGAAGCGUUCCUGCUCUCUGCAGUGCUCUGCAGGUAGAAGUGAGGGCAGCAUCCGAGAAGCACACCAGCAGACUUUCUGUUGUUUUAUGGAUCACAGGGCUCAUCACAGCUCUCUGCAUUUAUCCAGUGCAAUGUCCUUGCUGUUUGCCUGCGUACUGAGGUCAUAAGGUUGCUGCCUCUGCCUGGAUAUGUCUCCUCUAGGACUCUGAAAUCAAACACAGCAUUUUAAUGAUGUUUCAUAUUCUUGGGGAGAGUUCCUUCCUAAAAUAACCCAUUGCAUGCAGUCAGAAGCAAGUAUCAUGCAUCAAAAUCUCAUUACCUCAAAUGAAAGGCAUGUAAGGAAACUGUCAUGUGAAGAAGUGCUUACAAGGAGAAGCAAUGUGCUGAAUUAGUUGCAAGAAAGGGUGAAAGUUGACCAUUGGGUCAGGGUAGGUUCUGCAAUUCGCUGGGGAAAGUUCAACACCAACAGUGACAACAGUUUAAGGUCUGUCUUCAGUACCGGGAUGGAUUUCCUGCAUCAUCUGGAUCUCAGUAAAUAUCCCCAUGAGAAGAGCAUCAAUGUCAGCUCCUGUUUCAGAGCACUGCCUGGAAGGCGAAGAUUGGGCCAAACAGCUCAGUCUGGAACUUUAGUCCAGCUGUUCUGGAAGCAGCUUCUUCCCCAUCCCCAGCUUCACGUGCCAGGCUGACAUGCCACUAAGGAAUCUGCUCUCUUCCCCCUUACAUCACAUGCACAGAUCCUAUUUAUAGCAGGAGAGAAUUUUUGCUCUUAUGCAUCAUUCCAGCCAGCAGGAAGCAAAACAGGAGGAGGCACCAGUGCAAGAAAACGCUCUCAUGAGCUGGGUUUGGAACACAGGAGGGAGGAUGCUCACAGUGCUCACAAAGAACCACACACUGUCUGCCGUGUGAUGCCCAAGAACCUUUUGGAGGCCUCCAUACCACAGGGAUGAGCACAUCUGAAUUGAGCCAAGUGUAUUUAGUUUUUAGAAGACUGGCAUAAGUCAUCUUUAUUGAAUAUAAUUUAGUUUUAACAUAUUGCUCUGUGCUUGAGUUAUUAUCUUCACUGUGCUUGGAGAAAUAAAUUACAUUGAAGCCUUUAUUUUUGACCUGUG
rnacentral:lncRNA from 1 species